UACGUAGGGUGCAAGCGUUGUCCGGAUUUAUUGGGCGUAAAGAGCUCGUAGGUGGCACAGUAAGUCGGAAGUUAAACCACUGGGCUUAACCCAGUGUUGCUUUCGAUACUGCUGAGCUCGAGUUUGGCAGGGGAGAACGGAAUUCCACGUGUAGCGGUGAAAUGCGCAGAUAUGUGGAGGAACACCAAUGGCGAAGGCAGUUCUCUGGGCCAAUACUGACACUGAGGAGCGAAAGCGUGGGGAGCGAACAGG
rnacentral:rRNA from 1 species